UACAGAGGGUGCGAGCGUUAAUCGGAAUUACUGGGCGUAAAGCGCGCGUAGGCGGCUUUUCAAGUCGAUUGUGAAAUCCCCGGGCUUAACCUGGGAACUGCAGUCGAGACUGUCUAGCUAGAGUAUGGGAGAGGGAAGUGGAAUUUCAGGUGUAGCGGUGAAAUGCGUAGAUAUCCGGAGGAACACCGGUGGCGAAGGCGGCUUCCUGGACCGACACUGACGCUGAGGCGCGAAAGCUAGGGGAGCAAACGGG
rnacentral:rRNA from 1 species